rnacentral:rRNA from 1 species
UACGAAGGGGGCUAGCGUUGUUCGGAAUUACUGGGCGUAAAGCGCACGUAGGCGGGUUGUUAAGUCAGGGGUGAAAUCCUGGAGCUCAACUCCAGAACUGCCUUUGAUACUGGCAACCUAGAGACUGGAAGAGGUUAGUGGAAUUCCCAGUGUAGAGGUGAAAUUCGUAGAUAUUGGGAAGAACACCAGUGGCGAAGGCGGCUAACUGGUCCAGCACUGACGCUGAGGCGCGAAAGCCAGGGGAGCAAACGGG